rnacentral:rRNA from 1 species
AUGGCUAUUAUUCUUAACAAAACUUGCCUGACACGUUCUUUCUCCUUUGUUAUUUGAUGCUGCAAGUCCUUGUUAAUAGUUUCCUCUUUCCGUAGUCUAAUCCUUAAUUCAUUCCACUUGUUCAUGUUAUUAAUAUGAUCAACACUAUUUUCAUGUUCUUUAAGCUUCUCACUAAUGUGCCUCCAAUGAUCUAAUCCAUCAUGUGCUAAGGAACUCUGACUCCUGCUAUUGCUAGACUUGAAGAUCUUACAACAAAAGCAAAAAACUUUGUCAACACCUUUUGAAUAA